rnacentral:rRNA from 1 species
CGGGGGGGCGAAGCGUUGUUCGGAAUUACUGGGCGUAAAGCGCGUGUAGGCGGCUCUUCAAGUCAGGCGUGAAAGCCCUGGGCUUAACCCAGGAACUGCGUUUGAUACUGUUGGGCUAGAGUGUGGAAGAGGCUACUGGAAUUCCGUGUGUAGCGGUGAAAUACGUAGAUAUACGGAGGAACACCUGCGGCGAAGGCGGGUAGCUGGGCCAACACUGACGCUGAGACGCGAAAGCUAGGGGAGCAAACGGGAUUAGAUACCCCGGUAGUCCUAGCCUUAAACGAUGCUGACUUGGUGUUCCUGGUUUUAAAUCCUGGAGUGCCGUAGCUAACGCGUUAAGUCAGCCGCCUGGGGAGUACGGUCGCAAGGCUG